UACGAAAGGGGCUAGCGUUGUUCGGAAUUACUGGGCGUAAAGCGCACGUAGGCGGCCUUGUAAGUUGGGGGUGAAAUCCCGGAGCUCAACUCCGGAACUGCCUUCAAAACUACAAAGCUAGAGGAUGUGAGAGGAGAGUGGAAUUCCGAGUGUAGAGGUGAAAUUCGUAGAUAUUCGGAAGAACACCAGUGGCGAAGGCGACUCUCUGGCACAUUUCUGACGCUGAGGUGCGAAAGCGUGGGGAGCAAACAGG
rnacentral:rRNA from 2 species